rnacentral:siRNA from 1 species
CCACCGCCGCCGCCACCAGCACC